rnacentral:rRNA from 1 species
ACGAACGCUGGCGGCGUGCUUAACACAUGCCAGUCGAACGGAAAGACCCUGCUUUUGUGGGGUGCUCGAGUGGCGAACGGGUGAGUAACACGUGAGUAACCUGCCCUUGACUUUGGGAUAACUUCAGGAAACUGGGGCUAAUACCGGAUAGGAGCUCCUGCUGCAUGGUGGGGGUUGGAAAGUUUCGGCGGUUGGGGAUGGACUCGCGGCUUAUCAGCUUGUUGGUGGGGUAGUGGCUUACCAAGGCUUUGACGGGUAGCCGGCCUGAGAGGGUGACCGGCCACAUUGGGACUGAGAUACGGCCCAGACUCCUACGGGAGGCAGCAGUGGGGAAUAUUGCACAAUGGGCGGAAGCCUGAUGCAGCAACGCCGCGUGCGGGAUGACGGCCUUCGGGUUGUAAACCGCUUUCGCCUGUGACGAAGCGUGAGUGACGGUAAGGGGUAAAGAAGCACCGGCUAACUACGUGC